rnacentral:rRNA from 2 species
UGGGGUGCAGCAGGCGAGAAAACUUUGCAAUGUGCGAAAGCACGACAAGGUUAGUCCGAGUGAUUUCUGCUAAAGAGAUCUUUUGCUAGUUAUAAAACCACUAGUGAAUAAGGGGUGGGCAAGUUCUGGUGUCAGCCGCCGCGGUAAAACCAGCACCUCAAGUGGUCAGGAUGAUUACUGGGCCUAAAGCAUCCGUAGCCGGCUCUGUAAGUUUUCGGUUAAAUCCAUGUGCUCAACGCAUGGGCUGCCGAAAAUACUGCAGAGAUAGGGAGUGGGAGAGGUAGACGGUACUCGGUAGGAAGGGGUAAAAUCCUUUGAUCUAUCGAUGACCACCUGUGGCGAAGGCGGUCUACCAGAACACGUUCGACGGUGAGGGAUGAAAGCUGGGGGAGCAAACCGGAUUAGAUACCCGGGUAGUCCCAGCUGUAAACGAUGCAGACUCGAUGAUGCAUUGGCAUAUAGCCAGUGCAGUGUCGCAGGGAAGCCGUUAAGUCUGCCGCCUGGGAAGUACGUACGCAAGUAUGAAACUUAAAGGAAUUGGCGGGGGAGCA